AGUGACAAGCAUGACAUUGACAUCAAUAAACAUCAACAAAGUAAGCUGAAGUGAUAGGAAAGCACAAAAGAACAAAUAAUUUUGAUCUGGGAGUGACAAUAACUCAAAGGUUGCUGAGAAAAUACGUGGGAUCUGCUGACAAAUUAAUACAAUAGAACAUCGGAUUAUUUUACAUUGUCUUGUUGCCUAAUAACUUAAAAAUGUCGCGCGUAAUAACCUGGACUGUGGGAAUUUUCCUUAUUGCGGUUAUUGUUACAACAACUGCAGACAAAAAACAAGAUGAAAAACCUGCUUUUAAAUUGACAACUGUUCCUUGGGCAGCUGCUUUGGUUUGUGCUGCGGUACUGGGAGUCAUUAUCUUUUGUUUCUGUACUAAGAUUAUUAGUCUAGUUUUGAUUGCUGUUAUUAUAGCAAUUUGUGGUGGCUUAACUUAUCUUUAUCUCAAAUGAUUUUGGUUAAUCUGUUACAAUUUUUGUUUAAGUUUUCAUAUGCUGUGGAUCUGCAUAUUAGGUCUGACUCUAAUUUAAAUUUACCUAUGGAUCCACAUUCUGCUCUACUAGCAUACUAAACAAAUUCAUUGAUUAUUUUAGAUGCAUAAAGACAAAUUCAUGCUUCAAUAUGACAGUGAAUGUAGCCUAUAAUACAGGGUUGGAAACUACUAACCUGGCAGAUUUUAAGUUUAUUUCUGACCGCAUUUAGAGACUAAAAUGUCAUUUAAAGUUUUCUGGCUCUAGCUGCCCAGAGGCCUAUAAAACAGCCUUACACUUCAAUAUAUUUUGAGUUGUUUUUUGACAAAUAAAUAUUACAGGUAGGUUUUGCACAAGUAGCAAAUUGCCUAUUCGCACAUGUAUCAUACAACAUUUUACACUACAUAUGGCCCUUUAAAUAUUGGAGAUAAUAACGUAAUAUCCUAAUUAUUGCACUAGUGCGGUAAAGUACCACCAUAUGUACUGUAAAAUAUUUUGAAAUAGAUUUAAGCUUUAUUCAGCAAUGAAUAUUUAGGAUUUGAAUUCACACAACAGUAGUUAUUUUAAAGUUUUAGUUUGUUUUCUUCGAGGGUAUCUAAUAUCUUAUUCCUAUAAUAAAUAUAACAAAGAUGAUGCUGCCGAUAGAUGUUGCGCCACCGUGUAAAAAAAUGUAAAACAGUACAUCGUAGGAGAGGCCGGAAAACCGCUCAGAGAUGGACGAGUGAGUUUGAGGGUCGAUACGUUCGUGGAGGAGUCCAUCUUUAGCGUUUCCGGCCGAGGCAUAAAAUAGUGCUUUUCACAACUACUGUGAGGAAAUAAGAAAACAUUUGCAUAACUGUAAGCACUUUAAUAGAAAUUAGGAUUUAUUUUGGCGUGAGGACAAUUGUUGAAAGAAAGCGAUGUAUUUUUGCCAGGAACAUUUAUUCUUCACUACAAGAACUCAUUUUUAUAGCGGAUUUAUAUAACACGUAUCUAUCUAGAUACGUUUCUGUUUCAUGUAAGUAUUUUUUAGUCAAACACAAUUUACAGUAUCCAAUUCAGUAAGUAUUAUCCGAUCCCGCCUUUUUUUUCCCUUUAUAUCACUUAAGAGGCGUUUUUCUGUUGUUUGCUUCAAACCGAUUCUAAACUUAGAAGCUUUUUUGCUAAAAAACCACAAACAGCUACAAAAGUAAAAACGCCUUAAGCGUGAACCGAAUGGUUUUGACGUUUCUUUUUUUUAAAACAAGUAAUUGGUCUAAAAGUAACCUUAUUUUA